GAUCCUGGCUCAGGAUGAACGCUGGCGGCGUGCUUAACACAUGCAAGUCGAACGAAGCACUUAAGAUUGACUCUUCGGAUGAUUUCUCUUGUGACUUAGUGGCGGACGGGUGAGUAACGCGUGGGUAACCUGCCUCACACAGGGGGGAUAACAGUUAGAAAUGACUGCUAAUACCGCAUAACCCGAUAGGAUCGCAUGAUCCAGACGGUAAAGAUUUAUCGGUGUGAGAUGGACCCGG
rnacentral:rRNA from 1 species